rnacentral:rRNA from 1 species
UACGUAGGGAGCAAGCGUUGUCCGGAAUCAUUGGGCGUAAAGCGCGCGUAGGUGGCCUCAUAAGUCCGCUGUGAAAGUCAAAGGCUCAACCUUUGAAAGCCGGUGGAUACUGUGAGGCUAGAGUACGGAAGAGGCGAGUGGAAUUCCCGGUGUAGCGGUGAAAUGCGUAGAGAUCGGCAGGAACACCCAGGGGGAAACCAGUCGACUGGGCAGCACCUGACGCUGAGGUGCGAGAGCGUGGGGAGCGAACCGG